ensembl:lncRNA
GUGUGUCCCCCAAAAGCAACCCCCGAGCCUCCGGCCUGGGGCUGCGUGCUGCCCUGCUGGGCGGGCUCCUGGGGUCCCCCAGUCUCACUGCUUCACUGUCUUUUUGCAAAUUGUCCUCGUUCAUUUUAUUUCAUUUUAUUUGCUUAGGACCUCAGGGGCAGUUCUGCGCCCACGUGUGGCUUUCCUACCCUGAGAGGCACCCUUGAAGAUGAGCAGAUGCUUAUGGACAAACCACCCAGGUGUAACAACUCAUUUCUAAAUGGAAAGAGAACGACCUGCUGACACCGAUAGGACCUGCUGAUGUCCAUCUCCCGGCCAUGGCAGAAGACAACAGUACAAGCCUUGAGCAGCUCACCUCCGUUGCCCUGUGCUACCCCAUGCCUGGUGUAAGUAGCACCCCCACCCCGCCAGCUCCUUGACCUGGGAGGAAUUGCAGUCACCCGAGCGGGGCAGCCUGCUGCAGAGGGAGCCUCAACGCAACCCAGAGCCAGGGCAAGGGGCUGCUGUGGUCAGCAGGUGGCAGAGGGAAGGGAGGAAUGAAGGGAAAGAUGAAGGUCCUGCUGUAAAAGGAUCCCAAAGGGAGCGCGGGGGCAGGUCAUGCCAGCCUGCAGGCUGGACAAAAGAGAUGAUGACAAGCAGCUAUUUUAGCUGGUGGCCUGCAGCCACCUUGCCUAGGCAGUGGACUCAGCCCAGCUCCUAAGCUGGGUGAAAUUCUGCCUUGGAUCUGGUGCUGGGUAGGGGAGCCAAGGCAGUGGGGUGAAGGCUACUCUUGGGAUCCCCACCAUCUAUGGAACAUGGGGAAUUGGGUCUAUACUAUGCUGAGCCGCAGAACCCAAACUGGGAGCUGGUAUGGAAAAAAGAUGCUUUGCAACAUACUGGUAUAUAUUUAUAUUUUUCUUGUUGUUUUAUUUUAUUUAUUUAUUUAUUUUUGGUAUAGCUGUUGGGGAAAAACAGCCAGCACAUCCCAAGCGUCACUUCUAUGGUCCCUCCCUGUUGUCUUUGGGGGGGCUGUGGGAUCUGCCAAAAGGAUGCAGUACUCAAACCACAAAGUGCCUGCUUUCCUUCCAGUGUGGGCAGAAACUCCGCGAUAGCCAACAAGGAUCCUGGAGUCUCAUGCCUUCCCCAUCAUUGCUCUGGUUGUGCUCCCGUGAGCUCAAGACCCGUCUCACAUCACGUACAUCUCAGCUGGAAAGAGGAAUUAAAGAUCUUGCAGUAAAUAAAGAUGAAAACCCAAACAGCAUGCGUGGCGC